rnacentral:lncRNA from 1 species
AGAUGGCAGCCUACAAAAUAACCCUACAGGUCGUCAUCCAUGUACAUCGAACUCUGGAAUCCUGUAGGAGCUCCACAGCUAGCCAUGCUCUCUAUGUAGUUCCAUGUUCACCUACAAUGCAAGAACUACAUAAGCCAAUGCUUAGUAAGCAAAAUCAUGCAUGUCCUGAACAUGAGUAAUAACGAUAUAUGACACCAUGCCAUUUACUUUAAAUAUCACGAUAAAAAUAUCAUAUUUCAAUAUUCAUCAAAGUCGACUAGAAAUCAUUUCACUUGAAAUCUUUCAUUUCAUUGGGCCCUUGACCCACCUACUAUGCACCGGAUAGAGCUCUACAUAAUAUCAAUAUCAAUAAUCAAGUGGCCAAUAUGAAAUCGACACCGGCGAGUGGACCAUCCUCUCGUGACCACUAGAGGCCCAUCCCCUAACUACCCCUAUGAUCACCCAAGAAGUCUCCCACCCGACAGCGCCAAUAAUCAUAACAAGGGCAUAGUCGAGUGGUCCGCCCUCCCGUGAUCACCAAAGGCCCA